rnacentral:lncRNA from 1 species
CGGUAAAGGGCGGCGGCGAGGGGUGCCCCUCCCUCGGUUCCUCGAGACCCCGCUUCCGCGCCGGCACCGCCCCCUCCGGGUUUCCGAGGCCGCGAGUCGGCCAGCGCGCAUGCCCGGGGCGGGGCGCGGGGCGGGAGCGCGGAGCCGGCGCGGGGGACGCUGGCGCGGAGUCCGCGGGUCCGCCCGCCAGCCCCGCCGGAGGCAACCGAGGCCGCUCGGGUGGCGGCAGCGACGGCAGCGGGAUCCGGAGCGCAGCGCGCCGAGGAGACAGAGCGACGGCACGGCCGGGCUCUCUGUCCCUACCCCGGACCACCUGUGCUGGAGAGCUGCAGGCUGGGCACUGAGGAGCCGACCUCUUCCGGGGGCUUUCCGAAUGGGCCUGUUUUCAGCUGGGCCAUGCCUGCCUCCCAGGACUUCAGUUUCCUCCUCUGAAAAGUGAAGAGGGUUUUGAGCCAAGGAGCGGUAUGGUUGGACCAACACCAUAGGAAGAUCAGUCAUUCAUUUAACAAGUAUUUAUUUGGAGCUACUUGCUUACUACCUGCCAGUCAUCGUUCUCAGCCCGAGGGUACAUCAGGAAACACAACAAAGUCCCACUCCUGGAGCUGACCUUCUACUGGGAGAGACAAGUCAUAAACAAUAAACAACUGUGUGUAGUAUGUCACAUGGUGACAGGUACUGUGAAGACAAACUGAGCAGGGCAGGGGGGUGGAGAGCGCCAACCAGAGUUGGGAGGAGGCAAUUUUAUACAGGAUAACUUAGAGGGAAUCCCGGGGAGCAGCCCUUGCAGAUAUGCGGGAAGGAAAGCAUUCCAGGCAGAAGAAACAGGGAGUGCAAAGGCCCCAAGGCAGCGGUGUGACUGGUGCAGCCUAAUCUCGGGAGAGUGCUGGGAGAGCAGGCCAAGGGAGGUGCCGUGGCCAGAAAAUGCAGGGAGCCGGGGGCCCUUGUAGGGAGUGUACAUUUACUUUGCAUGAGACCCGGAGCCACUGCCUGGUUCUGAGCAGAGGAGGGAUGAGAUUUGCCUUGGGUUUUACUCAGAUCCUUCUGGCUGCUGUGUUGAGAAUAAACUGGAGUGAAGGAAAAAGCAGGGAGAAUCCAGAUGGAAGAUAGUGUGGGUCUAGUUCGGGGUAGUGGCCAGAUUCUGGAUAUAUUUUGAAGUAGAUUCAUUAUGUUUUGCUGAUGGUUGGGCCAUGCGGUGUGAGAGAAGGUCAAGGGUGACUCCAGGGAUUCUGGCCUGAGCGCUUGCGAGGUGGCGCUGGAGAAGAUGGCGGGAGGAGUGGGUUUGGGGGCAUCGGGAGCUCUGCUCGAUUUGGCUGCCGAGCGUAUCAUGGAACAGAGUCACUCACAGACACAGCUGCCUGCCAGACCCUCUCCCUGCAUGGCCGCCAGACACCACACUCUUGGCUUGUCCAAAAGGCGACUCCUCCUCUCCCCAGAUCUCCUGCCCAGCACCCCAUAGCCAGCAUCCUGGGGCCACCCCCAUCAUCACCCCCUACAGCUGCUGGUUCCUAUCAGUUUUCCCUCAGAUCUCUCAACCCUGCUGCCUCCAUCCCCAGGGCCUUCACUGUGCCAUGUCUCUUCCAGACUGUUCCAGAGAAGGGGUUGGGUGAAUGAAUGAAGAACUGGAUGAAUGAGAGAUUGAAUGGAUGAUUGACUGGCCACCUCACAGGACUUGGCCCGCCCCCUCCUCCAGCCCAGCCCCACCAUCAUCCCAGAGCGGUCUUUGAAAACACACAUAUGGGACUAUGUCCCUUCCUCUGUAAACUGUUCACGGCUUCCCAGGGCCUACAUGUACAUAAACUGGUGGCCUACAGACAGAGUUUAUUUGGCCCACAUAAGUGUUGUUGUUUUUUAAUCUUGAAUUAACUAGGAUAUUUUAUGUUAAAGUUCUGGAUUUCCCACUUCUCGCUGGUAUUACCAGGUUGCAUUUCUGCAGAGCAAUACUUGGCUGGUGGAGCAGUGGCACCCCUUUAGACAGGCUGUGCACUCUCUGGUUUGCCGUAGUCCCCAGCACCCCCUAUUGUUUUAUACCCAGCCUUCUUCCCUCACUUAAAUUACCUACCUGGCCCUGGUGGCAUCAGAGUUUGUGAUCCAUGGCAUAGAGGACAAAACCAUAACUCCUGGGAGCAUGUUGCAUGGGGUGGGCUGACAAAGGAGGGGAGAUGGCAGAUGAAAUUAAAAAUUAGACUGUGGCCAAGUUGAAGGGCCUUGAAUGCCAUGUUAGACAGUCUGACCUUUAUCCAGAGGGCCAAUGGGAGCAGUGAAGCAGGGGGGCAGCAUGGUUGGGUUCAUGUUUUUCGCCCAGGCCCUGUGGACAGGAGGGAGCCAGACAGGGGCAGAGAAGCAGGUGAGGAGGCCUUGCCACUGGAAGGAGGGUGAGUGAGAACAGGUCCCUGCUGGGUCUCCCUUGAGUCUGAGUCUGCUCUCUCUGUGUUUCAG